rnacentral:rRNA from 1 species
CGGAGGGUGCAAGCGUUAUCCGGAUUCACUGGGUUUAAAGGGUGCGUAGGUGGGUUGGUAAGUCAGUGGUGAAAUCUCCGAGCUUAACUUGGAAACUGCCGUUGAUACUAUCAAUCUUGAAUAUCGCGUAGGUAAGCGGAAUAUGUCAUGUAGCGGUGAAAUGCUUAGAUAUGACAUAGAACACCAAUUGCGAAGGCAGCUUACUUCACGAUCAUUGACACUGAGGCACGAAAGCGUGGGGAGCAAACAGGAUUAGAUACCCUGGUAGUCCACGCCCUAAACGAUGAUUACUCGACAUACGCGAUACACUGUGUGUGUCUGAGCGAAAGCAUUAAGUAAUCCACCUGGGAAGUACGACCGCAAGGUUG